rnacentral:siRNA from 1 species
UUGAGGGAUGAAUCUAGU